GUUAAACGGAAUCCGAUCCGCCCUCACGGGUGGUUGAAGAUCCUUGUGGGCUAGCAACCCCUAAACACAUUUGACCUCGGAUCA
rnacentral:rRNA from 1 species